GUCUCUGGAUGGAAACUGUUAUUAUCUGUGUUAGCAACGAGAGAUGUGGCAUUUGGGCCAGAAAUGGAAAACUCUGCUCCUUCCACGGCUGGAUUUUCAUAUGCCACUAGCACAUUGCUGCAGGAGCUAAAAUUUAGCUUUAUCAGACAUCAUAAACCCUGCUCUCAUAAUUCCUGCAUCUGUGAUAUCCCAUCUAUUUUUGUGGAGACUUAACUGGGUGCACUGAAAGGCCAAGGAAUUUCCACCUCUAAGUGAGAUAUGGAUCCCUGUGUGAUGAAAGGGAAAAACAGCCCAGUGAGAAAAAUCCCAGGCUGAGGAAGGUGAAAUCAAAACCUCAUUCUCUUCGGAAUUAGAUGAAUUGAUGAGAUUAUAUUUGCAAAGGUAAAUACUGGGGCUAGGACCUGUUCCUUGAUCUUCCAGAAGAAUAUGAUGAGUAGGUGUUGAUUACCAUUCUACACGCUCUCUUCUGCUUGUCAGAGUGUGCUGUGGAUCAGAGGCAGCUGAAAGAACUCCCACAGCAGCAUCUCCUCACAGCCCCGUGGCACUUCCCAGGAGCUGGGGCCCUCAUCUGUGGAGAACAAAUCAGAAUUGACUCCCCUGUGAACCUUCCCACUUUCAUAUUGGAAUCAAAAAUGCCUCACACCACACUUGCUAUUUUUAAACAUCAUCUGUGACUAUUUGCAAUGUAAAUAAUCUUUAGUAAAAAAAAAAAAAAAAUGCUUAUCCUGUGCAAUAAUCCAUUGCUUCCUUUGUAGAAACUGGGCAUGGAUAUGAUCCUGACACUGCACAUGUGGAAAAUAAAUAGAGUUUUGUACAGUAUUUUCAUUUGGGAGUGGAGAGAGAGGAGACAUAAUUAAUUAAUAAAAUGAAAAUACAAAAUCAUUUUGAACUCAGUAUUCUUUCCUAGUUGUUAACUCCCCAGAAUGUUUCCUAUUAUUUUCUUACCCACAGUGCAAGUGAGGAGCUGAAAUAUUGAAUUGCCCUGCUGUGUUGGACCAGAGCUAUCCAAGCCCUGACAUUUAAUAUUCCCAAAUUCUAUAUAUACAUAUUCUGGUCAUAUUUGGACAAUCUCACCAGGAAACAGAGGCAAUCAACCCCCACCCACUGUCAGAGGAGAAUUCCCAUUUUGCAUUAAUACCAAUACAAUUCUGAAGAUUGAUAUCUAUAACAAUAAAGCUCCUGGUGUUCUGCAUGUAAGAGAUCCGUACAAGACAAGCAGCUCUCCCAUGACUCCAGCAAAUUCCAGUUGCUUUGCUAACUACUGCCCUGGACUGCUUUUGAAUGUUAAUUUUCUCGUGUGAAACGUCUAAUUAUCCUUCAGGAUAAUCUCUGCUACUCUUUUGGAUCACUCUGGGGCUUGUUAAGUGGAGUGAUCUUUCCUGAGAAUCUUCUGAGUUAUUAAAUGACUUAUAUGCACUAAAAGAAAUUCCCAGUGGAAUUCCUCUGGUCUCUGUUAAUCAAAGAAUCCAUAAUUCUGUUGACAUUUUCACAUCUUUUUUUCAGUGUGAUUAUGGGAUGUUAUUGAAUGACCAAACUGGUUUUGAUUAGAAAAUCAUCACCAUCAUCUCCUGCUCAUGAAAUGGGUCUGGAAAAACCAACCUGUGCCAUUCCCUAGUAAGGAAUCCUCAGGUAAUUAUCACUCCAAGACUUUAUUGUGGGAUGGGUUACAGAAUCAUGGAACGGGCAGGGUUGGAAAGGGAGCUCCAAAAAUCCUCUUGUCCCAAGCCCUGCCCUGGGCAGGGACAGCUGCCACCAGCCCAGGCUGUUCAGUGCAUCCCCUCUGAGCACAGCCUGUGAGCAGAUAUUGGUACCUGUGGCCGUGAUUCAUCUCUUCAAAGGAAACACCUAAAAAUUAAAUCCAAUCAAUCCAAACUUAAAUUGUGGGAGCAGCAGAGAAAGCAGAACUGACAGAUUGGAAACCUUAUUAGUACUUAUGCAUGAUUCAUUUGUCUUUGGCACGCCAAAACACUUUGGAGUAAAUUGUUGUUUUAAAUACUUGUAUAUUCUGAAAUUCAAAGUAACUUGUCAAUGAAACAUGAAAUUUGUCAGUACUCUCAUUACCUUUGUGCUCUAAAAAUUCAUAAAUAAAUAAAUACACCUCCUUGAUGUUGAA